CCGUGUCGUGAGAUGUUGGGUUAAGUCCCGCAACGAGCGCAACCCUUGCCUUUAGUUGCCAGCAGUUCGGCUGGGCACUCUAAAGGGACUGCCGGUGUUAAACCGGAGGAAGGUGGGGAUGACGUCAAGUCCUCAUGGCCUUUAUGACCAGGGCUACACACGUACUACAAUGGCCGAUACAAAGGGCAGCGACACUGCGAGGUGAAGCCAAUCCCGUAAAAUCGGUCUCAGUCCGGAUUGGAGUCUGCAACUCGACUCCAUGAAGUUGGAAUCGCUAGUAAUCGUGGAUCAGCAUGCCACGGUGAAUACGUUCCCGGGCCUU
rnacentral:rRNA from 1 species